UAUGGAUUUGGUUCACAUGUUUGUUUAUGCUUUCAUCAUCUUUCUUUCUAUACCUCUUCCUCCAAGCCAAACAAAAACCAAUUUUUUUUUUUUUCAAGAAAUUUUCAUUUUUGUUUGGCCUGCCUAUAUAUAAAGUAGAUAAGCAUCAGCAGUCAGCAGGCAGCUGUCUGUGUUGAUUAAAAGUCGGCUGCAGAAGUCUCUCACUUUCAUAAUCAGAUCCCUUUUUAGAGUGAGAAGUUAUGCAGUGAUGAAAUAGCAGAUUUUCAAGGAUCUGAUCGUUUUGAUGCUUUCAUAUCCAAUGAAAAGAUACAGGCAUGUACUAUAUACUAUACUAUUCUGUAUGAUAAUUUUAUUCAAUUUGAUUCAUGGCUUACACUUAUCUAUUCAGUUUAUGAUUUUUUUCUUGACAUGCCCUCAGUUGUAAGUUUGUCUCCUGUUUAUCUUCACAUCUAUAUUCCUUGAUAAAUUCGUCUUGGAAUAUUUAUCUCAAGGUUCAUGGUGCUGAGAUGAUUAAUUACAAUUUGCCAAUAGAUUCAUCUUCGUAGAAAAAUAUGCAAUGAUGUAAUCAUAAAUGAGAGGAAACACUAAAAGAAAUUCUUGGGUGAUAGAUUUGGCCUUAAGAAGCUGAGUUAUUGUUUGAUGCUGAAAAUAAUAAUAGGAGCUCAAAUUCAAACUUCCAUAUGUUGAAAAGGAAAGUUGAAGAAAGUUUCAAUGGAGAUUCAUAUAGUGCCAGUCAUCAAUUAUGAUGAUUCUUUCUAUGUAAAGAACAUCAUUGGCGAAACAAUAGAACAACAAUUUUGAUCUCUACAUUUAUCCGUCCAUCUUAUGAUGAAUGCCAUAAAUAGAUAGAGUGUUAUUGAAAGCAGACUGCUGGAAUCUCGCUUGAGAGAGCUCCAAACGAGAUGCCAAGCGAGAUUGAUCACUAGUCUCGAUGUUCAUUUCGCUUAAGCGAGAUCUUCUCGCUUAAGCGAAGUUCAUCAGUAUCAGACCUGCAGAAAUCGUAUUUUUGACUCAAAAACCUUAAAAUCAAGCUUCUAAUGGCCACAAUGCACCCAGGACACAUGGAAAACAAUAUAGAUUCAUUGCAUGGCAACAGUUAACACAUUUUCAACAGAUCAAUGUGGCACAAAGGGUACUAAAUUCGUAAUUUCAUAAACUAACAUUCAUCAAUUGUCUCACACAAACGCACAUAACCCAAAGGUAGGAUCUAAUCUAAAGAACUCACAUGAUACAUUCUGAUUCCAAUGCAAGAUUAAGCUUCAUCUAUCCACAUAACCAAACCCUAGCUUAUGCAAUUUCCACAUAAGAGAAAAUCUUUGUCGAAGAGCUAUCCCAAGUCCUUCCUAGUGGCAAGCAUCAUGAAUACUCCAUCCUUUAGCUACAAUCUUGUUAGGAAUAGAACUUUGAGAAGAUUGAGUGAAGAGAGGGAGGAGGGUCGCAAGUCUAGAGAGAGAGGGAGAGCAAAAUCUGAGUUUGAGAGCUUAGAGAGAGAAAGUAUCAAGAAAAUGAAAUGUCUAGAACAAAUUUCACUUAUAUACCCCUCGCGUGCAAUUACCAAAAUUUCCUUUAUCUCAAGGAAUUUAAUAUGAUCCCGAUAACUCAAUCUGCUUGUCUGACAUUGCACGAUAAUAUCCUUCGUUAACUUUAUCGUCCAAGGAUAUUCAUCCUCUUAUACAUCCGACUGCUAAAUCUUGAGCGAGAUGUUACAUCACAUUUAUAACAUUACUUUUUGUAUUUGUAAUCAAAAUAAAUGGUGAUCGAUGAAUUUCACCAACUACAAAUUAUGAAGUGAAUGAAAGUUAUACCAACAGUGGUGUAAACGAAGUCGGUGAGGAUCAAGAAUAUUCUGGUUGCACAAAUAGACCAUGGAUAUGUAGUAAUCGAGAAUAUCCACCAAGAUCUGUAUGUCGUAGAAACCGUUGGGUGGCUAUUUCUAAAGAUGUUAACGAUUGUAGGAUAUGUGGCCGUCGUUGUCCAACUAUUGGUAAUUGGCACUGUUGUAAUGGUUUUUGUACAAACAUAAAUUUAUAAAUAUCUAUAACAAACA